rnacentral:rRNA from 1 species
CGGAUGAACGCUAGCGGCAGGCUUAAUACAUGCAAGUCGAGGGGCAGCAUGACUGUAGCAAUACAGUUGAUGGCGACCGGCAAACGGGUGCGGAACACGUACAGAACCUUCCUUCGAGCGGGGAAUAGCCCAGAGAAAUUUGGAUUAAUACCCCAUAGUACAACGGAGUGGCAUCACUUUGUUGUUAAAGAUUUAUCACUUGAAGAUGGCUGUGCGGCUGAUUAGGUAGUUGGCGGGGUAACGGCCCACCAAGCCUGCGAUCAGUAACUGGUGUGAGAGCACGACCAGUCACACGGGCACUGAGACACGGGCCCGACUCCUACGGGAGGCAGCAGUAAGGAAUAUUGGUCAAUGGACGAAAGUCUGAACCAGCCAUGCCGCGUGGAGGAUGAAGGUCCUCUGGAUUGUAAACUUCUUUUAUAUGGGACGAAAAAAGGGUUUUCUAACUCGUCUGACGGUACCAUAUGAAUAAGCACCGGCUAACUCCGUG